UGGGGCUCCUUAAGAUGUGGGACAUGGGAGGCGCCGUUAAAGGUCUUUCCAUAGCUGGGAUGUUACUUAACUUGUCCUUUAAAACCUAUGAUCUCUGUCUCUCUCACCUUAACUUUUCCCUUUAACCCUGGCCUUAGAUUCUGAGACUCCUGGAUGGACCUCCUCUGACCUGUAUGCUCUGCGUUCAACAGACCCUUAAUGCAGAAGAGCUUGCACACGUUAGUGGACAUCAGAAUCUUCUGAAGCCAGAGAUCCUGAUACUCAUGAUUGCAACCACUCUGGUUUCUGCUCUUGUUGUGGACUGGAAGUGCCAACUGCUCAGCAAGAGGAGGAGUGGAUACGUUUUGUAG
rnacentral:lncRNA from 1 species